UACAGAGGGUGCGAGCGUUGUCCGGAAUCACUGGGCGUAAAGGGCGCGUAGGCGGCUCGGUCAGCGUGCGGUGAAAGCCCGGGGCUCAACCCCGGGUCGGCCGUGCGAACUGCUGGGCUGGAGCACUGUAGAGGCAGGUGGAAUUCCGGGUGUAGCGGUGGAAUGCGUAGAGAUCCGGAAGAACACCGGUGGCGAAGACGGCCUGCUGGGCAGUGAGCUGACGCUGAUGCGCCGACAGCGUGGGGAGCAAACAGG
rnacentral:rRNA from 1 species